ACUCCUAGUUCUCUACAUGCCGGGAGUGCCCCAGAGCUCUGACCUGUGCCCCCAGGUUUCUCCUGGGCUCCCAUCCACUGGGCGGCAGGCGGUGCACCACACACUCCUGGGUUUAGAGGAGGGAGGGGCGCGGGCUCAUCAGGUGUAUCCCUGUGUGCAGUCACUUUUCUUUCUCUCAGUUUGCUUCAGCCACAUUUUUCCCUUUGUCCUUACCAUGAAGGCGGUAAGAUCACAGAAGCUCUGUGUGCUGUCCGAGGGCAAUGUCUUUUCACUGUGUGCCCAGGGGAAUCCCGCAGGGUUCUCAGCAUGAUCCCUUUUCCCCCAUAUCUUGGAACUGGAGCAGAGUGAAGAUGUCCUGUCUCCCUUGUUCUGCCCGCCCUCGGAAGGCACCACGGAUGCCCGCCACCCACCGCAUGCAACACCUUGAGUGUCACUGACCCACCUAGUUUCUACUCUCUUCAGUGAAGCUUGAGACAGGUCCUAGAAUUCCUCCUCACUUUUUUCUUUUCUUUUUGGAGACAGAGUCUUGCUCUGCACCCAGGCUGGAGUACAGUGAUGCGAUCUCAGCUCACGGCAACCUCUGCCUCCUGGGUUCAAGCAAUUCUCCUACCUCAGCCUGAGUAGCUGGAACUACAAGUGUUUACCACCACACCCAGCUAAUUUUUGUAUUUUUAGUAGAGACGGGGUUUCUACUAAAGCCAUGUUGGCCUGGCUGGUCUCUAACUUCUGACCUCCAGUGAUCCUCCUGCCUCGGCCUCUCAAAGUGCUGGCAUUACAGGCGUGAGCCACCAUGCCGGGCCUUAGAAUUCAUUUUAUUUGCAGUUCUCUUUGAGGGUGUUUGCCAUCUUUAGGGCUUCAGCAGGUAAAACUCCAAUCAAUCAGCAGCCCCCCUCGCUUUUAUAAAAUAAAAGGUGCAACAGGCCUGCUGAAACAAGGUUCUUUUGCAUGCAGUUGUUUUUGUUUUUCUUGUUUCUUUUUGGCUUACAUUUUUAGCUACAUUCCAGAACCCUGAGGGAAAGUGGUUCCGUGGCUGUGCUCUGUGGCUGGACCUUGGAGCGUAAACGAGCCCCUUCCGUGUGGCCGGAGCACAGGCGGGCCUCUCCCGGCUGCUCCCGCUGCUGUGUGAGGCUGAGCUCUUUGAAGCCGGAGUUUCUGAGUUGGCUCAUUUUUAAGUUUAAGUUUCUGAGUUGGCUCAUUUUUAAGUUUCCUAACUCUGUGGUGACCUCCAUGCUCAUUGCGCCCGAGAGAUGCUAGAGAGAAACCCCUCAUCUCCAUAGAUACGGUCUUGCCACGUUCUGAUGAUGUGCGUUUUGGAGGUGAGGUGCUACUAAGCUCGCACUGAACAGAAAGAGGUUGACUCAGGAGCGAUUUAUGACAGGGCUGGAAGGAAGCCUGCCAAGGCAGUUGCCCAGGGCCUGUGAGGAAGUGCUGAAUGUGGAAAUCCUAUCAUUGUUUAAAAAUGAGCCAACUCAGAAACUCGGGCUUCAGAGAGCUCAGCCUCACACAGCAGGGGAGGCAGCCAGGAGAGGCCCACCUGUGCUCCUGUCGCACGGAAGGGGCUCGCUUACGCUCCAAGAUCCAGCCAUGGAGCACAGCAGGUGGCAGGCCUAGCUCUGACUGCCGCCUGGAAGGCUGGCACUCUGGAUGGCAGCGUGGGGCCAGAGGGUCUGGCAGCAGAGGCCAAGUAAGGGAAAGAAAUCAAAGGGGCAAGGAAUGAGGAUGAAGGCUGCGUUUCCCUAGAUAGCGCCUGACACAUUGCGGACGGGCAGUCCUGUCUGUGGAAUGGAUGCGUGAAUGCAGGAAUGCCUCAUCCAUGCCACCAUUCUCGGUACUGGGGAUCCAUCCAGAACCAACCAAAUAGUCCAACAUUCCUGCCCCCGUGGAACUUCUAUCCUAGAGGCAGGGAAGACAGAUGACAAAUACAGCAGAUGCUCAUGCUGUGUAGUGUCCUAGAAGGGGACAGCGUUCUGACCACAAUCGAGAAUGCUGAGGGGGCUCAGAAAUGCUGGGGCUGCUGGUCGUUGCAGCUGCUUGAGGCUGAGCUCUUUGAAGCCGGAGUUUCUGAGUUUGCUCAGUUUGAAAGUCGUCAGGGCAGGCAGCACUUCGCAUGCCAUAGCUGAGAGAGGCCUUGUCGAGGGGCGAGAAAGUCAGUUGUGUGGAUAAGAGUAUUAGGAAAGAGAAGGCAAGAAAAGAAAGCCUGUGCAAAGGUGGGAGUGAUGGAGAGGGAGAAUGCUGGAAGGCAAGGCCAGAGAGACAGGAAGGGGAUGUCAGUUAAAAUCCUGGCAGGAAGCAGAUGGCCUGCUCACAUUGGAGGAAUCGGGGGGAGUUUACCUAAGGGACUGUUGCAAAGAGUAGGCAGAUGUAGAGACACCCCAAGGAAUAGCACAGUACCCCCUAUCCCAGAUGCCAUUACCACCCCUGGAAUUAAAGAGGCAAGAAAAGAGAAACUAGGCUGGGUACGGUGGCUCAUGCCUGUAAUCCCAGCACUUUGGGAGGCCGAAUCAUCUGCGCUUGAGAGUUUCAAGACCAGCCUGACCAACAUGGAGAAACCCUGUCUCUAUUAAAAAUACAAAACUUGGCCAGGCAUAGUGGCACAUGACUGUAAUCCCAGCUACUCAGGAGGCUGAGAUGGGAGAAUUGCUUGAACCCAGGAGGCAGAGAUUGCAGUGAGAUGAGAUCACUUCAUUGCACUCCAUCCUGGGCAACAAGAGCAAGACUCGUCUCAAAAAGAAAAGAAAAAGAAAAGAGAAGCCACAGGAACCUGGGGAGACAGGAGAGGGCUGCUUCCGGUUGAUUGGCAACUGCUGGCCCAUGGGGACCCCUGCAGGGAGAAGGCUGGGGGAAUGAACACCCAAACUCCAUUCUUCUCCCACACAGGUUCCCUUAUUGUUGGAACCCAAUGCAAAGCCAGAGGACCCGUUGCAGGCUGGCCUCCUGGGUCAGGGACCUGCAGAGAGCAGAGUGGAGAAGUGGGGGGUGGACACGGAGAGGCCAACCAGAGGCGCCUUGCCAGUGCAGGGCACUGGGGCCAGCGAAGGACUUGGGCUUCCCCUCUGAGUGAGACACAAGCCCCUGGGGUGCUGGACAGAGUGACAUCGUCUGACAUCACAAAUAAGUACCAGCUGCCAGUACCAGUACUAGUGACCAGGAGCUGAAGAAGGGAGGUGGGUAGAGAAGGAGGCGUAGGGAAUGAGAGCAGGUGGUUUGUGCAGGCCAGGUGGGGAGGGACAGGUGCUCAGCCCCCAGUACCUCCAGCCCGGGGCAGCUUGGGUCCACCAGGGCUGUCCUCCUCCCCACUGAGAGGAGUGCUCUGGAUCUGAGUUUAGUCUCCACCUGUAAGGUAGUCCUGGGCCCCGCAAAGGACUGCCACGGACAGCAGGUAUGUGGGUGUGGCUGUCCCACGGGAACCUCAUGCAGCCCGAGUUGGACCGUGUGUUGCCCUUUGCUUAUUGCUGUGGGCUCAAUCGUGCCCUCCCAAAAUACGUUGAAAUUCUCUCCCCUAAUACCUCAGAAUGUGAUCUCAUUUGGAAAUAGGGCCAUUGCAGGUGCAGUUAAGAUGAGAUCACCCUGGAGAAGGGUAGACCCUUAAUCCGACAUGACCAGUAUCCUAAUAAGAAGAGGGACGGGGCGCAGAGACAGACGCAAGGCACGCAGGGAGAAGGCCUUGUGCAGUCAGAGGCAGAGACCAGCAUGAUGCCAGGGGCUGGCAGCCACCACCGAAAGAAACCAGAAGAGGCGACGAAGAAUUCUACCCAGAAUUUCACAGAGAACACAGCCCUGCUGACACCUUGAUUUUGGACUUCUGGUCUCUAAAACUGUGAGAGAAUCAGUUUCCACUGAUGAAGGCAUCCAAUUUGAGGGGCUUUGUUCUGGCAGUCCUAGAGUGUUAGUCCAUUUUCAGUAGUUGAUAAAGACAUACCUGAGACUGGGUAAUUCAUAAAGAAAAAGAGGCUUGGCCGGGCAUGGUGGCUCAUGCCUGUAAUCCCAGCACUUUGGGAAGCUGAGGUGGGCAGAUCACGAGGUCAGGAGAUCAAGACCAUUCUGGCCAACAUGGUGAAACCCUGUCUCUACUAAAAAUACAAAAAAAUUAGCUGAGUGUGGUGGCAUACACCUGUAGUCCCAACUACUCAGGAGGCUGAGGCAGGAGAAUUGCUUGAACCCAUGAGGCAGAGACUGUAGCGAGCCGAGAUCAUGCCACUGCACUACAGCCUGGGUGACAGUGUGAGACUCUGUCUCAAAAAAAAAAAGAAAAGAAAAAGAAAAAGGAAAAAGAGGCUUAAUGGACUCAUAGUCCCAUGUGGCUGGGGAGGCCUCACCAUCAUGGCAGAAGGCAAAAGGCAUGUCUUACAUGGUGGCAGAGAAGAGAGAAUGAAUGAACCAAGUGAAAGGGAAAACCCUUUAUAAAACCAUAUGAUCUUGUGAGACUUACUCACUACUGCAAAAACUGUAUGGGGGAACCAGCCUCAUGAUUCAGUUAUUUCCCACCAGGUCACUUGUAUAACAUGUGGGAAUUAUGGGAGCUAUAGUUCAAGAUGAAAUUUGGGUGGGGCCACAGCCAAACCCUAUCACCUAGGAAACUGACACAUUCUCUCAGUUCAGAUGCCCGAUGAGAGGCUCUCAGGCUGCUUGGCUGACGUCUGGCUAUAUUGUGCUGACUUCCCAACUUGGGUUAUUUUCCUGGGUGCCUGUGAUAAUUUCACAGCCAGACUGACCAGGAAGAAGUGGCCACUUGCUUGGCAAACCCUAGCCCUCCCCUACUGUUUGGGGUCCUGGGUGGAUGGAGGGCGACAGCUGCCAAUAUCUGCGUGGCCAGGCACUGACCACAGAAUGAAGGUGCAGUAAUGGUCCAAGAAGCUGCGAGGCCUCCGGUGGUGGCGGGGGGGGAGGCUGCAGAAGACACUGAGUCCAGCAUAGAGCUGGCAUUCAAGAAAUCCUUCAUGAGUGACCUUUUCUGGACUUUUGAGCUGGUGUUGAACAGCGGCCUCCAAAAAGUUACAUCUGCGUUCACAUCCUGGGAAUCUGUGAAUGGGACCUUUAUUGGAAAAAAGGUCCCAUUUGCAGAUGUAAUUAGGUUAAGGAUCUGGAGAUGAAAUUGUCCUGGAUUAACAGGGCGGGCCCUAAACCCAAUGACAAUUGUCCAUAUAAAAAGACAGGAAAGAUGAUACUGACGUCGUGUGAAGAUGGGGGUAGAGAUUGGCGUGAUCUCGCCCCAAGCGAAUGAGGCCAAGGACGGCAUGGCAGCCACUUGGCACUGGCAGAGCCAAGGAAUUCUUCUCCCCUAGAGCCUUAGGAGGGAGCAUAGCCUUGCUGACACCUUGACUUCAGACUUCUGGCCUGCAGAACCAGGAGAGAAUACAUUCCUGUUGGGUAAGCUGCCCAGUUUGUAGCGAUUUGUUAUCGCUACAAACCCAGGUUGCUAGCAGAGGUGGCAACCUUUGCUAAAGGAAAGGCUAGCUCUGAUGAUGAUGGAGAAGCCUCUCGUGUCUGAAGAAAGCCCUGGCGUGGGACUGAGUUGUUGGUGGACUCUGGAGAGCUCUGUUCUAGGGAAGGUCAGAGUGAGUUGGAUGAAGCCAGGGGCCAGCACGGAGCCUUAUUAAGCAUGCGUGGGAGUUUGUGCUCUUGCCUGGCUGGCUCUCGUUUGCUUCUCUUAUUUGUUAUUUGUCAUGAUCCUGGUUCAUGCCCCUGAUGAAAACAUUCUUUAAUGAAGUGUUUCACAUGAAGAGAAAUGGCCUAGUUAUGGGUCCAUCUCAGGGGGACGUUCUCUUGACAAAGACAGUUCCUCAGCUUCCUGGAAUCCCACUGGCAGUGGUGUGGGCUCCGUGGGCCACCAGGAGGAUUGUUUACUUCUGUUUCCUGGACAGCCGGCUUGGCCUGGGUGGCCGAGAGCAGGUUCCUCACCUCUCUGCUGAGUGGCUCCUGCCAGAGACAGCAGGCUGCAGUUCUGAUAAGGUUUGGCUGUGUCCUCACCCAAAUCUCAUCUUGAAUUUUAGCUCCCAUAAUUCCCAUGUGUUGUAAGAGAGACCCAGUGGGAGAUAACUGAAUCAUGGGGCGAUUUCCCCCAUACUGUUCUGGCAAUGAAUAAGUCUCACAAGAUCUGAUGGUUUCAUAAGGGGAAACCCCUUUUGCUGGGCUCUCAUUCUCUCUUGCCUGCUGCCAUAUAAGAUGUGCCUUUCACCUUCCACCAUGAUGGUGAGGCCUCCCCAGCCACGUGGAACUGUGAGUCCAUGAAACCUUUUUUUCUUUAUAAAUCACCCAGUCUUGGGGUGUGUCUUUAUCAGCAGUGUGGAAAUGGACGAAUACACUGCCAUCUCAGGCAUUCAUAACAAGGUGGCUGGCACUAAGGCUGGGCCUUCUGCCCCAUGUUCCCAUCCAGCUGGGCUUGCAGGUCUUGCCAGACUCAGAGCCCAGUGCAGAACCUGAGUUCCUCGCCUCCACCCUUUUGCUCUUUUGGACUGAGGGUUCUUCUGUCCAAAUGAAAACACAAGCAUGGUAUGAAGAGGAGAUGAAGAAGGUGAGGAUGUUGAUUUAAUCUGGAGAGAAGACAGAAGGACCCAUAAAUGCAGCCUCAGGUAUGAGAAAGGUACUCUCUUCCCAUAGCCAAUGAUUGACUAGGGCUGUUCUGGAAGGUUUCUGACCUAGAGGGGGUCAGACUCAAGAGAUACAUUUUAGCUCUGUAUGUAAACACAAACUUGACAAACUAUCAGAAUGCAGUGGUUGUGCAUGGAGUUUCCCCCGCCUCUGUCUGUCUCCGUGGUGACUACUGAAGCCCAGAGCUUCUGUGGGAGGACCAGGUCAUGACACUUCCAUAGACUCUGACGACUGAGCAGUGGAUGGAUGGGGUGAGGGCCACCAGCUGACCUGGGGCCAGCCAGUCCUCUGGCUGACCAGUGCCAACCAGGUGCUCUCUCUUAAGAAUUUGUCUAAGAGACACAGAUUGGUCCAUGGAGGGGCCGGGAGGCAUGCUUGCAGAAGAUGAUGUGAUCAGUGCCCCACGCAUGUCCCCUCCACUCUUACCUCUACAUGCUCAAGGCAGCAUCGUGGCCAUACCUGUGUGGUCUCUAUCAAGUUAGUGACCGUAGAAGCAGCCCUCACCGCGAUAAGCUGAUUUAGCAGGUAAAUGCCUGGCUUCCUCACCCGUUGGUUGAAAUAACUCUCUUUUCCAGAGUUUCCCAGGAGGAUAAGUUUCAGUUGUCCGUGGUGGUAAUUCAUUUGAUAAUGUCCUCUAAUUGACAUCCAUCUUCCCUGUCUCACUUCCCCACUCCUUUACAAAGGGAUUCCUUUCAAAUAAACUAUUUGCCUAAAACCUUUUUUUUUUUUUCAGCGUCUACUCCUGGAACAACUCAAACAAAGACGAGGUUGGAUCUACUAGGUCAUGUAGACUUGAAGCUGGUGACGAUGUUGGGUCAGAUAUUAGUGGGAAGCCAAGCUUAGAGAAAGAUGGAGUGGAGGGAACCUGACUGGGAAGGUCCCCAUGGCCUCUGAGAGACAAGGAGAUAGAAGCCAGAAGUCACCUGCGAGACAAGGGGAAGAACUCUGACUCCCCGCACCACAAUCUCGUCUUCUGCUACAUGGCUUCUGUUCCUUGUAGCCGAAGGAUCUGAGCAACAGUUGACUCUAUAAAACUUACUACCUGCCAGGCACUGUCUUAACCUCUAUGCCAGUAGGGUAGCCAGAUUUAGCAAAUAAAAAUUCAGGAUGCCCAGUUAAACAUAGGACAUAGAUAUACUAAACAAUUAUUUGUUAUCUAAAAUUCAAAUGUAGUGAAUUUAAAUUUAAUCUGGCAAUUCUACAUACUGUCAUAUAAGGCAUGUUCUCUUAUUGUUUUACAGCAGGGGAAGCAGCAAGUGAGUAACUUAUCCAGGUUCCCACAGCUGCUAGAUGGUAGGGCUGGGCUGUGCCCCAGGCAGUCUGACUCUAGAGCUUGCCCUCUGAGCUGCCUCUUCAAUACCUUUACCGGUCCCGUAUCACCCAGAAGUGAGGUGAGUUGUCUCUCAAAGGAGUGAGUUCCCCAUCGCUUAUUUCUUUUUUUGUGGAAAAAGAGAAAAAGAAGGGGAAAAAAAAGAAAAAGAGGGAAAAAGGAAUAUUACUUCAUUCCUAAAAUGGGUUUCAAUAAUGGCCGAUCAAUAUUUUGAGUGUUUAAAGUGGUUAAUGCAUAUUUUAUGUGUUUAAAAUGGAGACCUCUAUUUGUUCUGGCUCUGAGUUCAAAUACUGGAUAUCGUUAUCAAUUUGUUGUCUCGUUGAAUCUCACUAUGUGUCUUACGUAUCUGGGUGUUAAGAUCUCUUAUUGUUACAUUAAUCCUUUUACCCUUGUAUCCUUAUAGCUUUGAAAUCUAUUUUGUCAAAUGUGAAAAUUGCAACUCCUGCUUUUUAUUUAUUUAUUUUUGCUCUCCAUUUGGUUGGUACGUUUUUUUUUUCCAACCCUUUAUUUUGAGUCUAUGUAUAUCUUUGGAUAUACCGUUGGAUUUUGUCUGUAUCUUUUGAUUGGGAGAUUUGGUUGAUUUAACUUUAGGGUUGCUGCCAUUUGAUAUUAACUGGCUAUUUUGUCCUUUUGUUGAUAAAAAUUCUUCUUUAUGUUAAUGCUCUUUACUUUUUGGUGUAUUUUUAGAAAGGAUCAUACUGGUUGUUCCUUUCUGUGUAUAAUGCUUCUUUUAGAAGUUCUUGUAAAGCAGGCCUGGUGGUAAUAAAAUCUCUGAGUACUUGCUUGUUCCUAAAAGAUUUUAUUUUUCCUUCAAAUGUAAAGCUUAAAUUGGCAGGAUAUGAAAUUCUGGGCUGAAAGUUUUGUUCUUUAAGUAUAUCAUCAGCAACCGAACAAGCCCUGAUGGAAAAGGACUCAUCAGUAACGGAACAAGCCCUGAUGGAAAAGGACUGUGUUCCAUUAUCUGAAGUAGGCUUUAAAAGGUGGAUGAUAAGAAACUUCUGGGAGUUAAAGGAACUUGUUCUAACCCAAUGUAAAGAAACGAAGAACUUGGAAAAAAGGUUCGAUGAAAUGUUGAAAAGAAUAGACAAUAUAGAGAGGAAUACAAAUGAACUUAUGGAAUUGAAAAAUACAACACGAGAACUGAGUGAAAUAUGUACAAGCUUAAACAGCCGAAUGGAUCAAGCAGAAGAAAGGGUAUUAGAGGUCGAACACCAACUUAAUGAAACAAAACGACAAGACAAGAAUAGAGAAAAAAGGAUAAAAAGGAAUGAGCAAAGUCUCCAAGAAAUAUGGGACUAUGUGAAAAGACCUAAUAUACGCUUGAUUGGUGUACCUGAAUGUGACGGAGAGAAUGAAGUCAAGCUGGAAAAUACUCUCCAGGACAUUAUCCAGGAAAAUUUUCCUAAUUUAGCAAAGCAGGACACUAUUCAACCCCAGGCAAUACAGAGAACACCACAAAGAUAUUCCUCAAGAAGACCAACCCCAAGGCACAUAAUCGUUAGAUUCACCAAGAUCGAAACGAAGGAGAAAAUAUUAAGGGCAGCCAGAGAGAAAGAUCAAGUUACCCAUAAAGGUAAGCCUAUUAGGCUUACAGCAGAUCUCUCAACGGAAACCCUACAAGCUAGAAGAGAGUGGGGGCCAAUAUUCAAUAUACCCAUCGCUUAUUUUUUGUGCCCAAGCAGUUGAGGAGUAUCACGAUUGGUGUUUGAUUCCUACCUGGGAAAUCUUUAAGGCAAGAGAGAGGACUCUUAGUGUUCGCUUGGCAGAGGAGCAAAUGGGACUUGCUGCUCUGCAGGGACCAGAGUUUUUGUGGGCAAAGGAUGUGUGUGUUUUCCUAUGAAUCGGUUGUGAACCAUUGGUGUGCAGCCACUGUCCCUAGUUUGCACAGGACGGCUCCUGUUUAGGUGUGUCGUCUCAUAGUCCCCAUCUGGUUCACCAUUUUACUUCCAAGCAAGGUGUUAUAAUCAUAGUUGCGAAGCAAACUUCCAAGUAAACUAUUAUAAUAAUAGUUGCAUUCAAGCAGACUGGAUGGGGCUGGAGACCACUUGAUACUUCUAGCUCUACACCACGGCCUCAUCUAGUUAUGGGGACUGCAUGGGGACAGUUUGAUCUGUGGUUAAACCCAGAAGCUGCCUAGCAACAUCUCUCUUUGUUGCAUGUCAUAACCAACACCCCUCUUGUCAGGACAGCACACAGGGCACUCCCAAAUGAAGCGCACUAUGACACGAGUGAUUCGGUAAAGCUAACUGCUGCCAGCUGCGCCUGGUGGGAGGAGAAAGUAUUUGAUGUGAUGCUGCUGACUUCAUGGGCAGUUGGCAUGCCAGCCAGUUGUGCCAAUGGCCUGUACCAAUAGCCUGGGCUAUGGCCUGCAAAAUGCUCAAAGCCACCAGCCUGCCAGUUGAUGGUGUCAAUGGGAAGAUGGGAACCUGUAGACCAGACGUUUUAAAAUAUGUGUGGGAAAUUCAGGCUCAACAGUCCUACGGGGGUAGGGGUGGUAUAUAGCGAGAAGGCUGAGUGCUUCUGCUACAGUUGUGCUGUCAUUUACCAUGUGGUGCAGCUCUCCUUAUUCAUUGUAUUGUUUGGUAAUGAUUUUUACAUUUUUCAAUGAACCCUGCAGGCCAUAAUGAGCUCAGAAACAUUUCUGUGCAUAUUUAGUAAAAACUUAAACACCACAUUUCUGUUUCUCAAGCAAGUUGAUGAUAAGCAUGCACCUAGCACAAAGCGCUGAUGUGUGCCAACACACCACAGGGCUGAAGUCACCAACCAUCUGAAAACCAGUUAGUCACAAAUCUGCCACAGAAGUAUCAACAUCUAAGGCAAAAGCGAGUGACUAUUUGUAGGCAGCUGUACCCAAAGAAGAUGAUUUAACAUGUGCAGUUACAGAAAAAUACACUUACACUCCACUUUGUGAACUGUGAUUUUUUUGUUUCUAUCAAAAGAUUGUUCUUUAAAAUUAAUCAUGUUCUUUUUGGGGGGAAAAGUACUUGAAUAAGACGUUACUCCAAAGAAGAUAUACAAAUGGCCAGUAAACACACAAAAAGCAUGGUCAACAUCAUUAAUUAUGAGAGAAAUGCAAAUGAAAACCAUGGUGAGAUGUGCCUGACACCUAUCAGGAUGGCUAUUACCAAACAACAGAAAAUAGGUAGGUGUGGUCGCUCACACCUGUAAUCCCAGCACUUUGGGAGGCUGAGGUGGGCGGAUCACAAGGUCAGGGGUUCAAGACCAGUCUGGCCAACAUAGUGAACCCUGUCUCUACUAAAAAUACAACAAUUAGCUGGGUGUGGUGGCACAUGCCUGUAGUCCCAGCUACUCACGAGGCUGAGGUAGGAGAAUCGCUUAAACCCUGGAGGCAGAGGUUGCAGUGAGCCCAAGCACUCCAGCUUGGGGGACCGAGCAAGACUUCGCCCACCCCCCACAAAAAAAGCAGAAAACAACAAAAAUAGCAAGUGUUGAAGAGGAUAGGGAGAAAGUGAAAGCUUUGCGCAUGAUGAAUGGAAUGUAGAAUGUGACGGCCUGUGUGGAAGACGGUAUGCCAGUUUCUCAAAAAUUUACACCUAAAUUAUAAUGUGAUCCAACAACUUCUCUUCUAGAUAUCAGCCCCAAAGAAUUGAAAUUAGGAACUCAGAUACUGUACAUCCAUGUUCGUAGCAGCAUCAUUCACAACAGACAAAAGUAGAAGCAACCCAACUGUCUGUCAGUGGAUGGAGGGAGAGACAAAAUGUGGCGUGUACCUAGAGUGAGCGUUAUUCAGCCCGGAAAAGGAAGGGAAUUCUAGUACAUGCUACAACAUGGAUUAACCCUGAGGACAUUAGGCUGAGUGAAAAAAGCCAGUAACAAGAGGACACAUAUUGUAUGAUUCCACUUGCAUAAGGUACCUAGAGAGUCAGAUUCAUAGAAACAGAAAGUAGAAUGGUGGUUACCAAGGCCUAGGGUGGGGGGAAAUUCGAGUUAGUGUUUAAUGGGCGUGGAGUUUCAGUUUGGGAAUAUAAGUUCUGGAGGUGAAUAAAGGUGAUGGUUGCAUAACAAUGUGAAUAUACUUAAUGACAACUAUAAUAUACUUAAAAAUGGCGUGGCUCACCCCUGUAAUCCCAGCUCUUUGGGAGGCUGAGGUGGGUGGAUCACGAGGUCAGGAGUUCAAGACCAGCGUGGCCAAGAUGGUGAAACCCCGUUUCUACUAAAAUUACAAAAAUUAGGCAGGUGCGGUGGCACGUGCCUCUAAUCCCAGAUACUUGGGAGGAUGAGGCAGAAGAAUUGCCUGAACCCAGGUGGCAGAGCUUGCAGUGAGCUGAGAUUGCACCACUGUACUCCAGCCUGGGCAACAGAGUGAGACUCAGUCUAAAAAUAAAUGGCUACAAUGGUAAAUUUUAUGGUAUCUGUAUUUUGCCACAAUAAAAAAAAUCAAUCUUGCUCUUUUUAUAUUCCAAGUAUUUUUGUAGCUGAACAAAAAAGUGGUAACUUAAUAUGUGGGUUUCAUUGGCAGAACAACUUUGCAAACAGAUAAAUGAUGCCAAUUUGUCAUUAGUGUUAUCCAAUAUUCCAAGUAUCAGCUCGCUCUCAGAAGGGUUUGAUAUUUUUCAGCCAACUCACAGAAUCAAAAUAAAGCUUUGGGAAGUUCAUUUUGUCAAAGAUGAAACAUCCAAAAUAAAUGUAAACAUUAUUUUAAAUUUAGUUAAAAUGUUCAGCCUUGAAGAUAAGAUUGUUUUUGUGGUCUCAAUACAAAUAUAUAUUUUGCCAAAACACAGCUUCAUGAUAAAAACAAUGUUUUGCUAAAUUUGACUACCGAGUAGCAAUGACCUUGGAAUUGGUUGCAAUGAACAUGUAAUUCUACUUUAUUCAAACCAGCUGUGAUAGUCUACCAACUGAACUCCAAGCUGCAAUUGUUGAAUGUUACAAAUAUUUUUAUACCUACUCAGAGUAAUUAUGAUUAAGCUGAAAUAGUAUUUAAAAAAAAAAAAAACUUUGGCAACGUAGCAUAUAAUUUUUUCUUUGCUGCAAGUCAUUAAACAGAUUUUAGAAAUGUUUGAACUUUUGCAGAAGGACUUUGUAAAUCAGCCCAACAGCCUUCUGAAAGGAACUGGACAUAUUCAAGGCUGAGAAGAUUCAUAGUGCAAUCCACUACUGUGCUUUCGCAAAUUGUAACUUGAAAACGUGCUCAAUAUCGCUCAUUAGAGAAAUGCAAAUCAAAACUACAGUGAAGUAUCAUCUUGCCUCAGUUCAAAUGACUUCUAUCCAAAAGACAGGCAAUAACAAAUGCCGGCAGGGAUGCAGAGAGAAGGGAACCCUCGUAUACUGUUGGUGGUUAUGUAAAUGAGUGCAACCACCAUGGAGAACGGUCUGUAGGUUCCUCAGAAAACUGAAAAUAGAGCUCACUGCAACCUCUGCCUCCUGGCUUCAAGUGAUUCUCCUGCCUAAGCCUCCCGAGUAGCUGGGAUUACAGGCAUGUGCCACCAUGCCUGGCUAAUUGUUGUAUUUUUAGUAGAGAUGGAGUUUCACCAGGUUGGGCAGGCUGGUCUCAAAUUCCUGACCUCAAGUGAUCCAGCCGCCUCAGCCUCCCAAAGUGCUGGGAUUACAGGUGUGAGCCACCAUGCCCAGCCAAAUUUUACUUUCAAAUACAGUUUUUGAACAGAAUGAUUUCAUAGCCCACUAAUGUGAUAAAACCAAUUUGUUUGUCUCUCUAUAAAUACUUCUAUGUAAUUUCAAUUAUGUUUAGGGUCCUGUACUCCCGUGGGAGAGCGAUAAGUCUAUAGAGUUUUAAAUCCUGCCCAAGAAGGCUAUUUGGAGAGGCCAUGGGAUGUCCCAAAGACUGCAUGAAGUCAUUGGGCAGCAGGAAAAAGGGGAAAAUGCAUUGCCCACCUCAAGAUGUUUACAACUUCAGGGCCCCAGUGGGAGCUGUGGAAGAGCACAAAGCAGAUGUUGAGAAAGGUUGUGAAAUGUCCAUCAGACUCAGAGAGCUUAGAGCCAGUUCACUAUAGAACCAAGUAAGUGGCAAAUUUUCUUCCCCUCUCUAGGGGCAGAAAAUUCUUUCAUUCCUCAUGCUCCAGCCCAGAGGGGCCAGAAACCAGAAACAGAAGUGAGCAAACUAAGGAGGAAAAAAGAGAGAAAGAAGGACACUGUCUGCUGUCCCCAAGGGUGGUGGCCUUCCUGCUGGUGGCCAUAGCAAGAGCAGGGGCAGGAGGCUCAUCUGUGAGUCAAGACUUAAGUGUGGAUUGGACUGGAGGUUUGAUUUUCUGAAUGGAGACCAUGUUUGCAAAGAACGUUACCUUAAGGCUGGGCGUGGUGGCUCACACCUGUAUCCCAGCACUUUGGGAGGCUGAGGUGGGCGGAUCACCUGACGUCAGGUGUUUGAAACCAGCCUGGCCAAUAUGGCGAAACCUCAUCUCUACUGAAAAUACAAAAAUUAGCCAUGUGUGGUAGUGGCUGCCUGUAAUCGCAGCUACUCGGGAUGCUGAGGCAGGAGAAUGGCUUGAACCUGGGAGGCAGAGGUUGCUGUGAGCCAAGAUCGAGUCACUGUACUUCAGCCUGGGCGACAGAGGGAGGGAGACUCCAUCUCAGAACAAAACAAAACAAACAAACAAACAAAAAAGGAAGUUACCCUAGGACUUUUUAAAACCAAAGAGUAAACCAAAAUGAAAGGGCUAAUGAAAAGGAAUGAAGUACUGAUCCGUGCUACAGCGUGGAUGGACCUUAAUAAUAUUGUCUUGAAUUAAAGAGGCCAGACACAAGGCCACAGAAUGCAUGGGUUCAUUGAUAUGAAAUAUCCGGGAAAGUCAACCCAUAGGGUCAGAAAGCAGACUUGUGGUUGCCAGGGCCUGAGGUACGGGGUAAUGGGGACUGCUGAUGGGUAUGUGGGUUCCUUCCGGGAUGAUGUAAAUGCCCCGGAACCAGACAGACCUGGUGGGUGUACAUCACUGAGAAUGUCCUAACUGUCCCUGAAUUUUACACUUGAAAUGGUCAAUGUUUAAUUUUAUGUCAUGUAAUUUUUCUUUCUUUCCUUUUUUUUUUUUUUGAGACAGAGUCUUGCUCUGUUGCCCAGGCUGGAGGUCAGACACGAUCUCAGCAGCUCGCUGCAACCUCUGCCUCCCGGGUUCAAGCGAUUCUCCUGCCUCAGUCUCCUGAGUAGCUGGGACUACAGGCCCGUCCACCCCACCCAGCUAAUUUUUGCAUUUUUAGUAGAGACAAAGUUUCACCAUAUUGGCCAGGAUGAUCUCGAUCUCUUGACCUCGUGAUCCACCUGCCUCAGUCUCCCAAAGUGCUGGGAUUACAGGCGUGAGAGACACCAUGGGUCUAUGGCAUGUAAAUUUUUUUUCUGAAUUAAAACAAAGAAAAAACCCAAAGGGCUGUCGCAAAUGUUCAUCCAAGAACAGGAGAAGAUGCUCCCUACAGGCAAGUUUAAAGGACAGUGCCAGAUAAAAAGUUUGAAGGAGAGUACUCCAUACAUUCUGCAUCUAAUACACGUUACCGAAGAGAGCCACAUGCAGAAAACCACACAAACUGGACUCUCUGGAGAUUUAAAGAAUUUUCAAGGGCAAAUUUGGACUCUACUGGAAUUUCAUCUAAUAUGUUGACUUUAGAAAAUUAACUCUCUAUCCUCUGAGCAGCAGCGAGGCAUUAGGCAGGCGGUAGCAAGACAGAAACUCCCUGUGUGUCUUGGGUAAGCUAAGUCUCGUUAAUAGGAGAGUUCUAGACUAGGGAGAAGUUCUGCCAAACUGCUGCUGCGGACCCCGGGCCACUUUGGACCCGGAACCAGCCAGCCCUCCUGACAUUCCUCCUGAGGCCCAGCUCUUUGUUUUGUACUGAGUUCUCCUUCCUGUGAAUUCUGGCCAUAAAUCUCCAAAUUCCUAGAGGGGUUCUGUGCCUAGCAACAAAAGUGGCUAGAUGGCAUAGUCUAAGAAGCCCGCUGACUUGGAAGAAAGCCCUUGUCCCAGAAGAGAAAUGAUUGGCAGCUGGCAGGCAUCCUGGGUAUCUCCGCUGGCUGUUGUAUGUCCAAGAGAAGAAAUGAUAUGCAGACUGUCUUAAAAACUGGCAGGGAGAUGCUAAGCUUUUUUUUUUUUUUCUGAGACAAAGUCAAACUCUGUCGCCCUGGCUGGAGUGCAGUGGCGUGAUCGAGGCUCACUGCAACCUCCGCCUCCCGGGUUCGAGCGAUUCACCUGCCUCAGCCUCCUGAGUAGCUGAGACUACAGGCACCCGACACUAUGCCUGGCUAACUUUUGUAUUUUUAGUAGAGACAGGGUUUCACCAUUUUGGCCAGGAUGGUCUCAAUCUCCUGGGAUUACAGGCGUGAGCCACCACGCCUGGCCUGAUGCUAAGUUUUAAACUUAUAAAUGUGCAUAGGAAAGGAUUAAACCAGAGAAGUAGGGAAAUAAUUAGGAUCCAAGCUCCACUACUAACUCAGGGGAAGAAAUCACCUCUUCAUGCCUCAGUUUUCUCUUCUGCAAAAUGGGAAUCCUUUUGAUUUCACCACAUGGUUAGUGAUGUAUCAUGUAUAAAAAGUAAAAAAUGAUAUAUUUUGUAUCAUGUAUAAAAUGAUACACCUACAAUAUGUUACACUUCGAAAAGUACAUAGUGUAAUAUAAAAUGCAAGAGUUUCACCCAGGUAGAUUUAUAUAGGAACUUAUUCAGAAAUACACCUACUAUGGCCAGGUGCAGUGGCUCAUGCCUGUAAUCCCAGCACUUUGGGAGGUUGAAGCAGGUGGAUCACCUGAGGUCAGGAGUUCAGGAUCAGCCUGGCCAACGUGGUGAAACCCUCUCUCUACUAAAAAUACAAAAUUAGCUGGGUGUGAUGGAUACAUACCUGUAAUCCCAGCUACUUGGGUGAGGCAGAAAAAUUGCUUGAACCCAGGAGGCGGUGGUUCCAGUAAACUGAGAUUAUACCACUGCACUCCAACCUGGGUGACAGAGUACGACUCCAUGUCAAAAAGAAAAAGGAAAAAAGGAAAGAAACAUGCCUGCCUGGUGGCAAGACAGGGCUCUCAACAUUUUGGGGGAAGGCAUCAGCGGAUGGCUCUAUAGUCAGUCAGGCUUGACUAAGUCACACGGGACCUGCAGAUGUGGCUGGCUGCAUACAGAUCCCCUGUUCUGAAUUUGUCAAGACCAAAUUAGCUAGGAUGGUAAGCCUAAAUGAGAAAAACUAAUCAUCAGCCCCUUAUUAUGUUUGCUUUUGCUUUUUAGGAUUAAUAGACACUAGGAUUACAAAUAACACCACGUAUGCAAUUUUUAAUUUGGGUAUUAAUUAGGGCAAAUAACAAAUUUGGGAAUUUCUUCUUUCUACCAUACUCAGAAGGUGAAGGAUUUCUUUUUUCUUUCUUUUUUUUUUCUUUGAGACCAAGUUUAGCUCUUGUUGCCCAGGCUGGAGUGCAAUGGCAUGAUCUCGGCUCACUGCAACCACUGCCUCCUGGGUUCAAACAAUUCUCCUACCUCAGACUCCUGAGUAGCUGAGAUUACAGGUUGCAGGCAGGCUCUUGGAGAUCACCACAGACUUUUCCUGGAGUUGGAAGAUGGAUUGUCAAAACCUGCAAUACACAUACCUACGGUGCUCCACUGUGUAUUCCAGCGGAGGAUUUCCGUGGAAUUAGCACCGACACAGAGGAGGACGAAACACCAGGAGUGCGCAUGCACAGAGGAAAGGUCGUGUGAGGACCCAGCAAGACGGCAGCCGUCUGCAAGCCAGGAGGAGAGGCCUCCCCAGAAACCAACCUGCUGGCACCUUGAUGAUGGACUUCCAGCUUCCACAACUGUGAGAAAAUACAUUUUUGUUGUUCAAGCCAAACUGUGAUGUUCUGUGAUGGUAGCCUUAGCAAACUAAGAUGCCCGGAUUAGAAAAGCUACAGAUGGAGGAGAACUCAGAGAGAAAGGCCAGGGUGCAUGGAUGGUCGUUUUGGCCAAGAGGAUCCCAUAUAGGCCAGGGCCAUGCUACAUUUUUCUGGAAGCUUACAGGCUUCAAUCUGAUGUGCACGUAAUCCUCUUCUGGCAGAAUGCAAGUUCCUGAUGUUGAAAAUAAAGAGCUUAAGGAAGCCUACUAAAAUAAUUCCAAAGGCUUCCUGAAUAUCAGAUGGCCCUCGCUGAAGAGCAUUUUGAUUUCAAAGUCCCAGACGUGCGCCUAUCAGAUUUCCCUCCAAGUGCGUAUGGUUUUGCCACAGGCAUUGAACUCCACCUCUUCUGUUCUCUUCUCCUUGUCCCGAAUUUGGGUGGUUUUUCUUGGCCAUUUCUGAUGUCUGUAUGUCAGUCUUUCCUUCCCUGUCCUCCAGAUUAGCUGCUUUUCUCUCUUGGAUUUGUCCACAGAUCGCUUAUUUCUGUAAGACCUAGUUAUUGUUCAGAUAGUCUGUGCUGUAGGCAAAUAGAAUCUGGUAAGCAAGGGUCAAUGGAAGGAGGAGGC